rnacentral:rRNA from 1 species
GAUGAACGCUAGCUACAGGCUUAACACAUGCAAGUCGCAGGGUAACAUGAGGAAAGCUUGCUUUCCUUGAUGACGACUGGCGCACGGGUGAGUAACGCGUAUCCAACCUUCCCAUAACUACGGGAUAACCCGUUGAAAGACGGCCUAAUACCGUAUGAUAUCGUUUGCUGACAUCAAAUAACGAUUAAAGGUUUAGCGGUUAUGGAUGGGGAUGCGUCUGAUUAGCUUGUUGGCGGGGUAACGGCCCACCAAGGCGACGAUCAGUAGGGGUUCUGAGAGGAAGGUCCCCCACAUUGGAACUGAGACACGGUCCAAACUCCUACGGGAGGCAGCAGUGAGGAAGAUUGGUCAAUGGGCGAGAGCCUGAACCAGCCAAGUAGCGUGCAGGACGACGGCCCUAUGGGUUGUAAACUGCUUUUAUGUGGGGAUAAAGUGCGUGACGUGUCAUGCAUUGCAGGUACCACAUGAAUAAGGACCGGCUAAUUCCGUG